rnacentral:rRNA from 1 species
ACGCUCGACACCUACAGGAGGCAGCAGUGGGGAAUAUUGCACAAUGGGGGAAACCCUGAUGCAGCAACGCCGCGUGAAGGAAGACGGUUUUCGGAUUGUAAACUUCUGUUCUUAGUGAAGAUAGUGACGGUAGCUAAGGAGCAAGCCACGGCUAACUACGUACCAGCAGCCGCGGUAAUCUGAGCGGGCUGGCAAGGC